AGUGGCGGACGGGUGAGUAACGCGUGAGAAUCUGCCUUGGGGUCGGGGACAACCACUGGAAACGGUGGCUAAUACCGGAUAAGCCGAUUGGUUAAAGAUUUAUUGCCCGAAGAGGAGCUCGCGUCUGAUUAGCUAGUUGGUGAGGUAAGAGCUCACCAAGGCAGCGAUCAGUAGCUGGUCUGAGAGGACGAUCAGCCACACUGGGACUGAGACACGGCCCAGACUCCUACGGGAGGCAGCAGUGGGGAAUUUUCCGCAAUGGGCGAAAGCCUGACGGAGCAAGACCGCGUGAGGGAGGAAGGCUCUUGGGUUGUAAACCUCUUUUCUCAGGGAAGAAGCUCUGACGGUACCUGAGGAAUCAGCCUCGGCUAACUCCGUGCCAGCAGCCGCGGUAAUACGGAGGAGGCAAGCGUUAUCCGGAAUUAUUGGGCGUAAAGCGUCCGCAGGUGGCGAUUCAAGUCUGCUGUCAAAGCACGGGGCUUAACUCCGUAAAGGCAGUGGAAACUGAAUAGCUAGAGUGCCGUAGGGGUAGAGGGAAUUCCCGGUGUAGCGGUGAAAUGCGUAGAGAUCGGGAAGAACAUCGGUGGCGAAAGCGCUCUACUGGACGGCAACUGACACUCAGGGACGAAAGCUAGGGGAGCGAAUGGGAUUAGAUACCCC
rnacentral:rRNA from 1 species